GUAGGGAGUAUUCGGCAAUGGGGGAAACCCUGACCGAGCAACGCCGCGUGAAUGAUGACGGCCUUCGGGUUGUAAAAUUCUGUGGCGAGGAACGAAUGGCAAGGAGAGGAAAUGCUCUUUGUUUGACGGUACCUCGCUAGAAAGCCACGGCUAACUACGUGCCAGCAGCCGCGGUAAUACGUAGGUGGCAAGCGUUAUCCGGAAUUAUUGGGCGUAAAGAGUGAGCAGGCGGUUUUUUAAGUCUGAAGUCAAAUCCUGUGGCUCAACCACAGUUCGCUUUGGAAACUGAAGAACUAGAGUGCGGGAGAGGUAAGCGGAAUUCCAUAUGUAGCGGUGAAAUGCACAGAUAUAUGGAGGAACACCGGUGGCGAAGGCGGCUUACCAGCCCGAUACUGACGCUCAGUCACGAAAGCGUGGGGAGCAAAUAGGCUUAGAAACCCUAGUAGUCC
rnacentral:rRNA from 1 species